rnacentral:rRNA from 1 species
ACCCGCUGAACUUAAGCAUAUCAAUAAGGGGAGGAAAAGAAACCAACAGGGAUUGCCCUAGUAACGGCGAGUGAAGCGGCAUCAGCUCAAAUUUGAAAUCUGGCUCUUUCAGAGUCCGAGUUGUAAUUUGUAGAGGCAUAUUCGGGAAGCGGUUUAGUCUAUGUUCUUUGGGACAGGGCGUCAUAGAGGGUGAGAAUCCCGUAUGACUUUUCUCGCAACCUAUGUGAAUGGCCUUCUAAGAGUCGAGUUGUUUGGGAAUGCAGCUCUAAUUGGGUGGUAAAUUCCAUCUAAAGCUAAAUACUGGCAAGAGACCGAUAGCGCACAAGCAGAGUGAUCGAAAGAUGAAAAGCACUUUGGAAAGAGAGUUAAAAAGCACGUGAAAUUGUUGAAAGGGAAGCGCUUGCAGCCAGACUUGCCUGUAGUUGCUCAUCCGGGUUUUUACCCGGUGCACUCUUCUAUAGGCAGGCCAGCAUCAGUUUGGGCGGUUGGAUAAAGGUCUCUGUCCUGUACCUCUCUUCGGGGAGAACUUAUAGGGGAGACGACAUGCAACCAGCCCGGACUGAGGUCCGCGCAUCUGCUAGGAUGCUGGCGUAAUGGCUGU